UACGGAGGAUCCAAGCGUUAUCCGGAAUCAUUGGGUUUAAAGGGUCCGUAGGCGGUUUGGUAAGUCAGUGGUGAAAGCCCAUCGCUCAACGGUGGAACGGCCAUUGAUACUGCCAGACUUGAAUUAUUAGGAAGUAACUAGAAUAUGUAGUGUAGCGGUGAAAUGCUUAGGGAUUACAUGGAAUACCAAUUGCGAAGGCAGGUUACUACUAAUGGAUUGACGCUGAUGGACGAAAGCGUGGGUAGCGAACAGG
rnacentral:rRNA from 1 species